GAUGAAGAACGUAGCAAAAUGCGAUACUUGGUGUGAAUUGCAGAAUCCCGUGAACCAUCGAGUUUUUGAACGCAAGUUGCGCCCGAAGCCUUUUGGCCGAGGGCACGUCCGCCUGGGCGUCACGCAUCGCGUCGCCCCCCACAAUUCUCCGUAAAGGGAACGUGUGUUUUGGGGGCGGAUAUUGGUCUCCCGUGCUCAUGGCGUGGUUGGCCGAAAUAGGAGUCCUUUCGAUGGACGCACGAACUAGUGGUGGUCGUAAAAACCCUCGUCUUUUGUUUCGUGCUGUUGCUCGCAAGGUAAACUCUUUAAAAACCCCAAUGUGUCGUCUCUUGACGACGCUUCGACCGCGACCCCAGGUCAGGCGGGACUACCCGCUGAGUUUAAGCAUAUCAAUAAGCGGAGGA
rnacentral:misc_RNA from 1 species